GACAGAGGUCUCGAGCGUUUAGGCGGAAUCACUGGGCUUAAAGCGUGUGUAGGCGGAGUGCUAAGUACCUUGUGAAAUCCCACGGCUUAACCGUGGAACUGCUGGGGUAUACUGGGUUCUCUUGGGCCACUUAGGGGCUACCGGAACAAACGGUGGAGCGGUGAAAUGCGUAGAUAUCGUUUGGAAACGCCAAUGGUGAAAA
rnacentral:rRNA from 1 species